CAGUAGCCACGGUAAUACGUAGGUGGCAAGCGUUGUCCGGAAUUAUUGGGCGUAAAGCGCGCGCAGGCGGAUAGGUCAGUCCGUCUUAAAAGUUCGGGGCUUAACCCCGUGAUGGGAUGGAAACUGCCAAUCUAGAGUAUCGGAGAGGAAAGUGGAAUUCCUAGUGUAGCGGUGAAAUGCGUAGAUAUUAGGAAGAACACCAGUGGCGAAGGCGACUUUCUGGACGAAAACUGACGCUGAGGCGCGAAAGCCAGGGGAGCGAACGGGAUUAGAUACCCCGGUAGUCCCUGUCUCUUAUACA
rnacentral:rRNA from 1 species